GUGGAAUAAAGCAGUGGACGAGUGGAACAAACUUCUCCCAAAUGUGUUCUUGGAUAAGAAGGAUUUCUUUAUUGAAACUAUUCAGCUGGACUAUAGUAAGAAGAAGACUGAAAACCCCAUCAACAAAGAAUGUGACAAGGAUGCUGGAGCAAGGCUGGACCCCAUCAAAAAUGUCUAUUUCUACAGGAAGAGAAACCCCACUGAUGGCAUUUCUAUUAAGAAUUAUGAGAUAUCCAGUCUGCUGCCAGAGGAGUUUACUGAAUAUGUUGGUCAGGUUAACUACACAAAAAAAUCAGAUGAGGAGGAGAGGGAUGCUAAGGAGUGCUUCAGAUGGUGGCGUCUCCGUGAGGACGGGGUGAGUGUUUAUGGGUUAUUUGUCAUUCUGACACGUUACACAGAAAGCACUUUACAGUGACAUUGUUCAUAAACCAAGUGUUCAUACAUUAAGGCUCUAUUGGCUUGUCUCAUAUAAAGC
ensembl:lncRNA